rnacentral:miRNA from 1 species
AGGGCUGAUCUGGUAGAUAGGGAU